UUUUUUUUUUUUUUUUUUUUUUUUUUUUUUUUUACAAUGUACCACCAACGAAGGAGUGUCAGAGA
rnacentral:ribozyme from 13 species